rnacentral:rRNA from 1 species
GAGUGAACGCUGGCGGUAGGCCUACCACAUGCAAGUCGAACGGCAGCACAGUAAGAGCUUGCUCUUACGGGUGGCGAGUGGCGGACGGGUGAGGAAUACAUCGGAAUCUACUUUUUCGUGGGGGAUAACGUAGGGAAACUUACGCUAAUACCGCAUACGACCUACGGGUGAAAGCAGGGGAUCUUCGGACCUUGCGCGAUAGAAUGAGCCGAUGUCGGAUUAGCUAGUUGGCGGGGUAAAGGCCCACCAAGGCGACGAUCCGUAGCUGGUCUGAGAGGAUGAUCAGCCACACUGGAACUGCGACACGGUCCAGACUCCUACGGGAGGCAGCAGUGGGGAAUAUUGGACAAUGGGCGCAAGCCUGAUCCAGCCAUACCGCGUGGGUGAAGAAGGCCUUCGGGUUGUAAAGCCCUUUUGUUGGGAAAGAAAAGCAGCAGGUUAAUACCCCGCUGUUCUGACGGUACCCAAAGAAUAAGCACCGGCUAACUUCGUG